rnacentral:lncRNA from 12 species
UAGUUGAUUGUUCUGUUGUAGAUGUUAAAAUAGUUGUGGUUGUUGGUUCAGCUGUAGAUGAUGAAUCAGUUGUGGUUGUUGGUUCAGCUGUAGAUGAUGAAUCAGUUGUGGUUUUUGGUUCAGCUGUAGAUGUAAGUUUUGUUGUUGUUUCUGUAGUAGGGGCUGUUAUUGUAAUCUGUGAUGUAGUUAUAGGUGAGUUUGUUGUAACCAGGGUUGUAGAUUGAGCUGUACUUGUUAUAGGUAAGGAUGAUGUUGUUGUCUGCAUUGGGCUGCUUUGUUCAGAUGUAGUUGAUUGUUCAGUUGUAGGUGUUGAAGCAGUUAUGGUUGUUAGUUCAGUUGUAGAUGAUGAAGCAGUUGUGGUUGUUGGUUCAGCAGUAGAUGUAAGUCUUGUUGUUUCUGUAGGAGGGGUUGUAGUUGUAGGUGAGUUUGUUGUAACCUCAGUUGUAGAUUGAGCUGUACUUGUUGUAGGUGCUUGUUGUGUUGCCGUCUGCGUUGUGGUGCUUUGUUCAGAUGUAGUUGAUUGUUCUGUCGUAGAUGUUAAAACAGUUGUGCUUGUUGGUUCAGCUGUAGAUGAUGAAGCAGUUGUGGUUGUUGGUUCAGCUGUAGAUGUUAAAACAGUUGUGGUUGUUGGUUCAGCUGUAGAUGUAAGUUUUGUUGUUGUUUCUGUAGGAGGGGCUGUAAUUGUAACCCGAGAUGUAGUUGUAGGUGAGUUUGUUGUAACCAGGGUUGUAGAUUGAGCUGUACUUGUUGUAGGUAGGGAUGAUGUUGUUGUCUGCAUUGGGGUGCUUUGUUCAGAUGUAGUUGAUUGUUCAG